GAAAUGCGAUAAGUAAUGUGAAUUGCAGAAUUCAGUGAAUCAUCGAAUCUUUGAACGCACAUUGCGCCCCUUGGUAUUCCGAGGGGCAUGCCUGUUCGAGCGUCAUUAUAACUACUCAAGCCUGGCUUGGUAUUGGGGUCCGCGGUCUCGCGGUCCUUAAAAUCAGUGGCGGUGCCCUCUGGCUCUAAGCGUAGUAAUGCUCUCGCUAUAGGGUCUUUUGGUAACUAGCCAGAACCCCCCAUUUUCUCAGUUUGACCUCGGAUCAGGUAGGGAUACCCGCUGAACUUAA
rnacentral:misc_RNA from 1 species